rnacentral:piRNA from 1 species
UGAGGAAGACUGACUUUUGUAGACAGA